rnacentral:tRNA from 1 species
AGCCAAUGAGCUUGUAAAAGCAUGUAUUUUGAAAAUACAAGAAAGAGGUAAUUCUCUAUUGACUU